UCAAGCAUAAUAAGGGCAUUUGGUGGAUGCCUUGGCGUCAAGAGGCGAUGAAAGACGUGGCACUCUGCGAUAAGCUACGGUGAGCCGAGAGCAGGCUUUGACCCGUAGAUUUCUGAAUGGGGAAACCCCAUCCAUUAGGAUGAUCCUGUCGUGAAUACAUAGCGGCAGGAGGCGAACCCGGUGAACUGAAACAUCUCAGUAACCGGAGGAAAGGACAUCAACCGAGACUCUGCUAGUAGCGGCGAGCGAACGCGGACCAGGCCAGUGGCUUAUGCAUAAGAACCGGAAUGAUCUGGAAAGGUCAGCCAAAGUGGGUGAUAGCCCCGUACGGGUAGAAAUUGCAUAAGUCCUCGAGUAGGGCGGGACACGUGAAAUCCUGUCUGAACAUGGGGGGACCACCCUCCAAGCCUAAGUACUCCUUGACGACCGAUAGUGUACCAGUACCGUGAGGGAAAGGUGAAAAGCACCCCGAUAAGGGGAGUGAAAUAGUUCCUGAAACCGGAUGCCUACAAGCAGUUGGAGCCUCUUUAUGGGGUGACAGCGUACCUCUUGCAUAAUGGGUCAGCGAGUUAGUCUUACAAGCAAGCUUAAGCCGUUAGGUGUAGGCGCAGCGAAAGCGAGUCUUAAUAGGGCGAUUGAGUUUGUGGGAUUAGACCCGAAACCAGGUGAUCUAGCCAUGAGCAGGUUGAAGGUGAUGUAACAGUCACUGGAGGACCGAACCCACGUCUGUUGAAAAAGACGGGGAUGACUUGUGGUUAGGGGUGAAGGCCAAUCAAACCUGGAGAUAGCUGGUUCUCCGCGAAAUCUAUUUAGGUAGAGCGUCAGACGAAUACCAUCGGGGGUAGAGCACUGAAUGGGCUAGGGGGCCUUACCGGCUUACCAAACCUAAUCAAACUCCGAAUACCGAUGAGUACUAUCUGGCAGACAGACUACGGGUGCUAAGGUCCGUGGUCGAGAGGGAAACAGCCCAGACCGCCAGUUAAGGUCCCAAAGUUGUGGCUAAGUGGGAAAGGAUGUAGGACGGCCAAGACAACCAGGACGUUGGCUUAGAAGCAGCCAUCGUUUAAAGAAAGCGUAACAGCUCACUGGUCUAAAUAAGCUGUCCCGCGCCGAAGAUGUACCGGGGCUCAAGCCACACACCGAAACUGCGGAUUUGUUCUUUAUUGAACAAGUGGUAGCGGAGCGUUCCGUAAGCCUGUGAAGGUGUACCGUAAGGUAUGCUGGAGGUAUCGGAAGCGAGAAUGCUGACAUGAGUAGCGACAAAGGGAGUGAGAACCUCCCUCGCCGAAAGCCCAAGGGUUCCUGCGCAAGGCCAAUCCGCGCAGGGUGAGUCGGCCCCUAAGACGAGGCGGAAACGCGUAGUCGAUGGGAAACAGGUUAAUAUUCCUGUACCCGUGAGAAGUGACGGCCUCUGGAAGUAGUUUUUCCUUAUUGGAUUGGAGAAGCUGCCAAGGAGGUCCAGGAAAUAACUCUCACAUAUGGAUCGUACCCGAAACCGACACAGGUGGGCAGGUUGAAUAUACCAAGGCGCUUGAGAGAACGAUGUUGAAGGAACUCGGCAAAUUGCCCCCGUAACUUCGGGAGAAGGGGGCCCACCGUGAAGGCAACUUUACGGUGGGGGCACAGACCAGGGGGUGGCGACUGUUUACUAAAAACACAGGGCUCUGCGAAGUCGCAAGACGACGUAUAGGGUCUGACGCCUGCCCGGUGCCGGAAGGUUAAGAGGAGAUGUGCAAGCAUUGAAUUGAAGCCCCGGUAAACGGCGGCCGUAACUAUAACGGUCCUAAGGUAGCGAAAUUCCUUGUCGGGUAAGUUCCGACCUGCACGAAUGGCGUAACGACUUCCCCACUGUCUCCAACAUCGACUCAGCGAAAUUGAAUUCUCCGUGAAGAUGCGGAGUACCCGCGGUCAGACGGAAAGACCCCGUGCACCUUUACUACAGCUUUGCAGUGGUAUCAGGAUGUGAAUGUGCAGAAUAGGCGGGAGGCUAUGAACCCGAAGCGCCAGCUUCGGUGGAGCCACCUUUGAGAUACCGCCCUUUUGCUUCCUGAUAUCUAACCGAGGUCCGUUAUCCGGAUCCGGGACCCUGCAUGGCGGGUAGUUUGACUGGGGCGGUCGCCUCCCAAAGAGUAACGGAGGCGCGCGAUGGUAGGCUCAG
rnacentral:rRNA from 1 species